AGGUGAAAAAACAUUUUUUUGUGUUUGUUGUUGUAAUACUCAUUUCAUCCACAAGAGGCUGAAAUGCACCACUACCCAUGUUAUAAAUAGGACUAAAAGCAUUCAAGUUUUCUUCCAGUAUUCCAGAGGGAAGUCCAACAUUUGACUUGUGGGUCCAACAAUUCCAUCCUAGGGGUGUAAGCCACGUCGGUGAAGGAGGAGGCCAUAUAAGGAAAAAUACAGUGUGCACAACUCAAGGGUUCGAGCGCACCUGAAGGUUCCGUUGUUGGCCAAGUACCUGAACCUGAUCAGAUGAGGACAUGACAAGUUUCCAGCUUUUCAGUAUUGUGUCAGAGUUGUGCCUAUAUUUGUGGAGGACAUAAUCAGACAUUUACACACCCUGAUUAAUUUCACUGCAUGCAAUGUUGAAUGACAAGUUGCUUCCAUAUGUAUCCGUAUAAGCUGAAGACUCCUAUCAUCAGUAUCUAAGUAAACUUUGUUAAAAAGACAUUAAUUUAAAAGAAAAAAUGUUUCUACUCAGUUUGGCUUUUAUACAUGCAUCACCCAGUGGUUUCUGCCACAAGGUCUGUGGUUACCAUCCAUCCUCACAGUUGAUUUUAGAGAAGAUUAAGAUAUCCCAAAUACAUUACUAAUACAUUAAUAUAUUGUCUAUUUACUGCUCCAGAAUUAAUUGCAAGUAAAACAUCAAGCAAGUAUGUUUUAUAAUACCACUUUACCAAUCAUUUGAGCAUUAACCAUAGUCCAUUACUUCAUCCAUCUUUCAGGCCUUUUCACUUCAUCCUAAGCAAGAGUGCCUUUGAUUUUGAAACACUGUAGGUGGUUGGUGCUUCACAAUCCUAACACCCCAUGACUUAACACAGGGAUAUUUUCAGAAUACAAGAGUUCAAUUUUAUCUGAAAUGUCUGUUGCCCAACUUAAUUCUCAUGGUCAAAUAAUUUGUCAUAUGAAGAUAUUUGUCAUUAGAAAUCUGUUUGCAUUUUUCAAUUUGCAGCACAUACCAUCACCACUUUUUUUUUUCUUUUUCCCAUGCUGCAGUGCUCCCACUUCCCUUGAAUAUCCCUAGUUUUGUUUCUUACCUUUGUUUGAUGAAUUGUAUAUUGCAUUUUGUUUUAUAAAAGUUAAAUGUUGAAUAUUGCUGAAUUUAAAUUUUUACAAAAUUUUGCUGAAUGACAUACUG